rnacentral:lncRNA from 1 species
UUUUUUUUUUUUUUUGGUCUUUUUAGGGUCAUGCCUGCGGCACAUGGAGGUCCCCAGGCUAGGGGUUGAAUUGGAGCUAUAACCGCUGGCCUACACCACAGCCACAGCCACGCAGGAUCCGAACCACAUCUGUGGCCUACAGCACAGCUCACAGAAACACCAGAUCCGUAGCCCACUGAGCAAGGCCAGGGAUCGAACCUUCGUCCUCAUGGAUGCUAGUUAGAUUUGUUUCUGCUGAGCCACAACAGGAACUCCAAUAUCUUGUAAGAAGUUUUAAUGACGUAUAGUCUGUACAAAUACUGAAUCGCUAUGCUGUACACCCAAAACGAAUACAAUACAGUAAAUCAACUUCAAAAAAAAAGUUCUUAUUAAAAAAUUAAGUUUUCAGUAUUUAGAUAGAUACUAAAGAAAGAGAAAAGAAACAUAGACAGCAAGUCUGGUUUGGGGAGCCUUCACCUAGGCCCUCCCCGCAAAGAUCAACACUGUCACCCAAGGGCAAGUCUUAAGGCAGGUGGCAAGAUUGAAGACCGGUGUCCGUGGCUCCUUCUGGUUCCCACUGCACUUGUUUCUCACGGGAGUGCCAACGAGGUGUGCAGGAAAAGGCACCAUGGCUCUGUCUGCAGAGGUGACACCCCACAUUUUAACCUAGGCUGUGGGGGUGGGAGGGAUGCAGAAACAGGCUCUCCCAAAGGGCCCACGCGCAUGGACUGUCAUCCAAGAGAGUUCUGAAGACGUCCUGCUGUUUCAUUUCUCUGCUCCAAACCCCAGCCCAGGACAAAGGGGACGGUAUCCAUUCAGAACAAGGAGCUUUCACCCUGCGGGCUGGAGUUGCAGGCCAGCCCUGAGCAUAACAGCCCAGUAAAACCCGACACCCAUCAAUAUAGUCCUUCUGUCCGGGACACAAAGGUCACCCCCUAUUCCUACUCCCUGCCGACGCUCCUGGCUAAACAAGCUGCUCUGAGCUCAUCCCUCUGGCUGGGGACCAGGGCUGCGGUUUAUCCCAAGCAGCCUCUGGCAAACCCCAUCAUUCCAGGACUGGCUGCCCACUGGAGGGGUCUGCGGGCAGGAGCAGAACCACGCCCCCUCCCCCUACACUCUGCCUCCUCCCUUCCCGAAGCCUGACCUUGGAGUCAGGAGCUCCCAGGAGAAGGUCAGGAUGGCCAACAUCUGGACAGCGCAUCCCGCAGGAAGACGGCCCUCCUUCCCACUUGAUUCAGCCUCUGCCACAACUACCAAACUUCUCAGGGCCUCGGCUGAGAACAAUGACUACCCCCUAAAGGCUCUGCAGAUUAAACCAGUCUGUGCAGGUAAAGGGGAGUUCCCAUGGUGGCUCAGCGGGUUAAGACCCUGAUUAGUACCCAUGAGGAUGUGGGUUCAAUCCCUGGCCUCGCUCAGUGGGUUAAGGAUGCGGUGUUGCCGUGAGCUGUGGUGUAGGUGGCAAAGGCAGCUUGGAUCUGGUGUUGCCGUGGCUGUGACAUAGCCUGGCAGCUGCAGCUCUGAUUCGACCCCUAGCCUGGGAACUUCCACAUGCUGCAGGUAUGGCCAUAAAAAGAAAAGGAAUAGUUACAAAGGUAAAGGACCUCUAACGGUGCCUGGCACACAGUAAGCUGUCAAGGGCAAGGUGUCACAAUCCAUGCUGGAAUGCCACAGACACGCGGUACAAGGAGCAUGGAGUGGUGGGGUGAACAUGGGCUCUGACCCCAGACUGCCUGGUUCAAAUCCCACCUCUGCCACUCACACCAUGUAACUUUGGGCACGUUCAUCAGUCCCUCUGCCUCUGUUUCCCCACAGUCUUGUGGCAGAAUUAAUAGUUAAUGUUGGAAACAACCCAAAUAUCCCCCAACCAGUGAAGAGAUAAACUGAGGUACCUGUAUCUCUACCAUGGGCUACUACUCAGUGACAAGAAGGGAAACUGUAUUUAGAUACCCAUCACCUUGGGUGGCUCUUAACAACGUUACACGCAAUGAAAGAAGCCAAAGAUGAAGGCUAUGUGCUGUAUGAUUUCACUUAUAUGAAGCAACAGAAAAGGCAACAUUUUAGUGACAAAAAGCAGAUCAAUAAUCUCCUGAGACUAGGGAUCAGGGAUUGACACAGUGCAAGUGGGCAGGAAGAAAUCUGGGCGGUGGAGUUCCCGCUGUGGCUCAGUGGGUUAAGAACCUGACUGCAGCAGCUCAGGUGGCUACAGAGGUAUGGGUUCGAUUCCUGGCUUGCCCUGACUCAGUAGGUUAAAGGAUCCUGUGUUACUGCAGCUGUGGCACAGGUCACAGUUAUGGCUCAGAUUCAAUCCCUGGCCUGGGAACUUCCAUAUGCUGCAGGGGCAGCCAUAGGGGUGAAAAAAGAAAGAGGGAGUUUCUGUUGUGGCUCUGGGCAGCUUACACUGGAUGAGUACCCAUGAGGAUGUGGGUUCGAUCCCUGGCCUCACUCCGUGUGUUAAGGAUUUGGUGUUGCCGUGGCAUAGGCUGGCAACUGCAGCUCCUAUUUGAUCCCUAGCCCAGAAACGUCCAUAUGCCACAGGUGUAGAGGUAAAAAGCAAAAAAAAACAAAAAAAAAACAAAAAAAAACAAAAAAAAAAGAAGAAGAAGGAGAGAAAGGAAGAAAGAAAACAAACUGGGGCGGGUGAAGGAAAUUUCUACAUCUUGUCUGCAGGGGUGGGUACCCAGCUGUACACAGUAAAAUCCUCCUCAAAACUGUACACUUAAAAUGGGAGAAUUUUAGUACUGUAGGUCAACUCUACUAUAAUAAAGCAAAAAAAAAUAAAAUCAAAAGAAUAGUUAAUGUGCAUGUAAUUCCAAGACCAGGGGCAGGCACAGUGCGUAAUCAGUGAGCAUGCACUGCUAUUAUAAUCCCCUUCCACCUGUUCAGGGACCCCCCGUGUCACAGCACACACCACUCAGCGAUAUUAAGACCCGAGGCUGGCUCAUUUCCGCUGAGCUUCAGGUCCUGGGGACAGAGGGGUGAGUAGACACAGUCCCCCGCCUGCACAGUGGGAAGAAGGAAGCUACCAAGACGUCACAGCCAAGAUAUGCUAGACUGGGGGGAACCAGCACAAGGGGAGGGCCUCAGAGGGAGAGAGAGGCACAAAGCAGCACCCAGAGGCUCCAGCGUAUCCCUGAUCACAAAUGCUGGGGCCCGGGGUGGAGGUGUCACCCUGCGCCCUCCUGGGCUGGCCCAUCCAGACAUGAAGACCUUGCACAUGAGCCACAAGUCCCUGCAAGAAGCUCGCCCCCAAAGGAGGUCAUUAAGACAACAGCAAGUUUUGAGAUUAUAAGAUAAGAUCGUGGUUUAUGUUCAUUAUACUACACUGUGUCUCUAGUGCUUGUUCAUCCUGUGUUGUAUGUUUGUACUGUUGAAAAUAUUAAAAAAAAAAAGAAAGAUAAUGGCUGGCCUUGGAAUCACUGUAGGUAUUUGGCUGAUCUGUAGCCAAACCUCAUCAAGAUCUCAUUACCGGAGUUGACUAGCAUCCAUGAGGACGCAGGUUCAAUUCCUGGCCUCGUUCAGUGGGUUAAGGAUCCGGCAUUGUGUAGAUCACAGAAGCAGCUUGGAUCUGGCAUUGCUGUGGCUGUGGUGUAGGCUGGCAGCUACAGAUCCAACCGGACCUCUAGCCUGGGAACCUCCAUACACCGCAGGUGCAGCCCCAAAAGGACAAAACAAAACACCUCAUCACUGCUCCAUUGGUCUGGGAGGUGAACUGAGAUUAACUCAGACUUUUCCCAGUGAGCACCAGGUAUGCCAGACCACGGCUGUGCAUCAGCAGCCAAAGGACAAGCAAGUGCUUCUUGUCCUCAGGGAGCCCUCAAGUCAGGACGGGGUCAGACAGGUGGUGAGACGGUCAGCCUUUCUACACUAUGCAGCCCCACUGGAGGGAUGAGGGCCCGUCGGCAUUAUGGGGUAUCCAGGAGGGCUUCAGGAGGGAGGCACCGCACAAGUCAAGCUGGAAGGACUGGGAGGGAGGAGGGUCAGGCAGCGGAGGAAGGGCAGGAAGAAGGGACUCACAGGGUGGGGCUGGGAGAGCAGGAGGCUCUGGGCCCCAUUGCCAGAGCUUCAUUCAUUCAACAAACACUGGCUAAGCCCCUGGCUCACGCUGAGACUCUGUUGGACACACACAGCAGGAGCCACAGCUGUCCGGCCAUUAGAGCAGUUUGAGGGUGCAGGGGGAGAGGCUCUGAGUUCCCAGGGAUGACAUCCAGAGGAGGAGGCGGAGCCCCCCUUGAAAACACAGGAAACGGCAAGUGUGCAAUUCUGUCCUUCCUUCCCAGCUUCCCAACUCCUGUGACGGGGGCUGGGCCUCCGAGAGGGAGCUGAUGGGCUGCGUGCUCCAAGGUCACCUCCAUCCUGCCUCCCCCUACGCCCGCACAGGUGUUGCUGUCUGUGUGCACACUUGUUUCAUCCUGUGUUUAGGGAUAAACACCAGUGCUUCCCCUGCCUUUCCCCUGAUCCCCCUCAAGGGCAGCCACCCCACCCGCUUCCUCUUGUCCUUCCCAUCCGCCCUGCCCCCCAAGAGCCCAGCAGAGAGGGUGCCCUGAGAGGAUGUGGGGGGCACCACGGAGGGAACUGCGGCCAUCAUGGAUUCAGAACUUUCUGUGAAGGUUUGAGACCAUCACGUGCCAACCACUGGCUCGGUGCUGGGUGAGCUGAGCUGCUCACAGCACAUCUGGAAAGACAGCUAAUUAUGUGACACACUCAUCAUUAGGAUCUAAUUAUGUUACAAAAGCAGUAGUGGAGAAACAGAAGGAACAGCGAAACCUGUCUGAUCGAGUUGGUUGUUGACCUUGGUGUUGAAGAAACAAGUUGAAGUGGCCAGAGAGAGGAUGCUGGAUGCGGGGGGUGGGGGGCGGGUGCACAGAGGAGGCAUCCACGGGUGAGUGAUGCAGGCACAGCCCCCAGAGCCAGGGGCUCUAAAAACCCAGCUGAGUUUCUUCUCCAUCCAGAAACAACUCUACUAUAAUAAAGCCUUAACCAAAGCAUUCUGGAGACUUAACCGAUAGUGACAGUCUUUGGAAGGACAGUCUCAAGGCCACGUGGACGAGAGUGGAGGGCAAGCCCUUCGGCACCAUAAACCCACAGCAUAAAGAUCCCAAGUGCCUUUUGUCCUGAGCGAUGCUGGCUGAGCAGCAGCCACUGGCCACACGUUGGUGGCCAACUGACCACAGAACACAAAGCAGCCUUCAGACAUCAUAUGAGAACGGGGUCACUCCCAGACUGCAGGUGUCUGUGCACCCUGCACCCAGCUCUGUGCUCAGGCCCCAGCUCGUCUGCUCUGCCUUCACAUCCUGUAACUGUUACUUCCAAAGCCCGGGAUGGGGACAGGCUUGUCCUCCAGGCACCGGCUGAGCCACCUGUCUGACUCAUGCUCCCUGGUCUGGGUGCAGCACCGACCACCCGAGAGGGGAGACAAACAGGAGAAAUAGGAAUUUUCACUUCCCUGGUGUUCUUUCUCUUCCUCUUUAUUAUUAUUUUUUUUAAACUACCAACAUACCCCAAAUUUCAUUAACUAGGGUUUGGCUAAGAGAAAUCCAGCUAGGCUGACAGCCUCUUCUUGUGGGUUCCUUGCUGGCUGCCACCAUCUGGCAUACAGUAGGUACCCAAUGUUUGCAGAUGGAACACCAACAGCGUUGCAGCUUCUGCCUGGAGCUGCCUCCUCUCUUUGCAGCUUCAUUCUGCAAAAUGUAUUGAUUCACAGACACCAGUGCUGUAUGGGGUCAGGGUGAAGUGGUUACCAGGAGUAAAAGAAACUAUUUUACCAGGAGUAAAGGAAACUACUUUCUGAAGUCCUCCUUUUUAAGCCCAAAUUCCCAUUUCCCUGGAAGCUCUUAAGCUGGAAGCCAUCUCUACCAGGCCCCUCAAAAAUCCUUUUUAGGGAUGCCAUCUGCAUCCAUGGCUGUGUGAAUAUACUGGCUUAAUGACCUGAGAGUAAAUUUCAGCAGGUCAACCCAGCUGCCCACCUGGUGCAUCUCCCAACCCCCAGGCUUUUCUGAGCAACAGGAGGUGAUCCUGGGAAUGCUGAGGAUGGAGGGACCCAAAGAAGAGGAAAGAGGAAAGUCCAGAAGGAGAAGCACAGGGACCAAAGGGCCAGAAGUCAGACGGUGCUUCCCGAGACUGGCUUUGCACCUGCACAACCCCCCUAAGAUCCCAUAUCCAGCCCCCAUGGCUCCAGGCUCCAUCUCCAACCUCCAGCUGGGCACUGGCUCCUACCUGGAGGACCCACAGAGACCUCAAACUGAACACCACUGAAGCUAAACUCAUCGCCUUACCCCACCCCCUCCCCAGACACCCCAACUCAAGCGGAGUCCUUGCCACCCCCGUUCCUGCUUCUCUGUAAUCAUCACCUGCUUGGUUUUCCCGCCACACACGGUGUUUGUUUACUUUUGCUCUCCCCCAACGCUAGACGGCAGCAUCUCGAGGGCAAGGACUUGCAGGGAACGGCUGUCCCAGCCCUUAGCAAACAUCAAUCUUACGGA